rnacentral:rRNA from 1 species
UACGAACCUGACAAACGUUAUUCGGAAUUACUGGGCUUAAAGGGUGCGUAGGCGGCGCGACAAGUUGGGUGUGAAAUCCCUCGGCUCAACCGAGGAACUGCGCUCAAUACUGUCGUGCUCGAGGGAGACAGAGGUGAGCGGAACUUAGGGUGGAGCGGUGAAAUGCGUUGAUAUCCUAAGGAACACCGGUAGCGAAAGCGGCUCACUGGGUCUUUUCUGACGCUGAGGCACGAAAGCUAGGGUAGCGAACGGG